UCGCAUUUGCAUGCUCUGAGAGGAUUUUGCUUUCUAACAAGGCUUUUCCUGAUUGAUCAAGAGUGCAGAGAGAGCCAGUGAACGUUCUGUCCUGCCAGCCUGCACUGUAGGCGCAGUGACAGGGUAACGUAGGCCAGUGGAGCCUGGCUUUAGCUUUGCACUGCCUCUGGCAUUCACUCCCCUGAGAAUCUGAUAACUGGUUAACAGGUUGCUGUAAGGACCAAUGGACAGUGUAUGUAAAAGGAACAGGACAGGUUCUCAGCAGUUCCCCACCUUGAGUCUACAGGACCUGGUGGAGAACAAGUAAGGAGUUUGGACAAAUUGUUCAAUUUCAGUGAAACUGUUCCAGUGAAGUACAGCUAGCUUUCCUCUAACACCAGACUUAAGUUUCCUUCAGUUUGGUCUCUCUAAUCUAGAACCUCAAUAGAAGCUGCAAGACAAGUCAUGGUGGGGUGGAAAGGAAUGAGGAAGAGGUUUGAAUCACUGAAGUGGUAAUUUGUUUCACAGCUAUAUUAAGGCUAGCCACAAGACGCUGCAUCUUGGCCCAGCUGGGAAUCUGAAUCUAUGCAAGUCAUUUUAUGUGCUUGCUGCUGUCCCUGUUACUCAGUUUAUCCUCACUGGAUAAAAGGCUUCCUCCAAAACAUGAAAUGUGAAGGCACUUCCAAAAAUAAAUCCUGGGGGAACAAAAAAAAAA
rnacentral:lncRNA from 1 species